AUGAAGAGUUUUAAAUUCAGGUAGCAGAUGUGAUUAGUAGUCUCUGAGGGGAAGGGGAGUGGGAUAUGGAUUUACCACCUUACUAAAGCAUCGACCGUUACUGAAGAAUACAGAGAGAGUAGUGUGGUCCUCCGUGUGUGCUAUCUUGCAGAGGACCAGAGGACACCCAAUUGCACAGAGAGAUUUAGCAUUGCCCAUAAAAAAGAGGCUUUUGGCUCUGGCCCUCUGUACCCAGGGGACUCGUCCAGUUCUGUUUUUUCCCACAUCAGGUCAGAGAUCUACAUGAUUCAGCCCAGCCAGCUCUGAGGGGGGCAUGAGAGUUUCAAUCUGGUUGUAAUGAGUCUGGUGCCAACUGGAAACACACACUCACACAUUCGAUCACUGCAGCCAAGUUCAUACAGCCAAUUCAUCUUCUGCAUGUUUUAGAAGGUGGGAGGUGAACAAAGUACCCAGAGAAACCCUACAUUACUGGAAUUGAGGGCAGCACGGUGGCACAGUGGGUAGCGCUGUCACCUCACAGCAAGAAGGUCUUGGGUUUGGGCAGUUGUAGCCCAGUGAUUAAGGUACUGGACUAGUAAUCAAAAGAUCGCUGGUUCAAGCCCCACCACUGCCAGGUUGCCACUGUUGGGCCCUUGAGCAAGGUCCUUAACCCUCAAUUGCUUAGACAAUAUACUGUCACAGUACUGUAAGGCACUUUGAAUAAAAGCGUCUGCUAAAUGCUGAAAAUGUAAAUGUUUCCCCAGCCGGUGGUCCAGGUCUUUUCUGUGUUGAAUUUGCAUGUUCUCCUUGUGUCCAUGUGGGUUUCCUCUGGGUGCUCCGGUUUCCUUUCACAGCUCAAAGACGUGCAGUCAGGACAACUGGAGAUAUUAAAAAGUGUGUUAAUGCCCUUGUGAUGGCCUGGCGAACUGUUCGGGGUGUUUUCUGCCUUUCGGCUAACGAAUCAGACCCACCGCAGCCUGACCAGGAUGAAACAGUGGAAAAACAAUUAAUAAACAAAUGAAUUCAUUUCUUUUUGCUUUGUUUCACUACAUCCAAACACAGUGCUGAUCCUAGAUCAGUUUUAAGGGCUCAUAUCAUCAUAUGAUCUAAUUUCUCACUUUUAAUGCACAAUGUGGUAGAAAUUAGCACUGGUGUUUGCUUUUCAGGACUGAACUGUGUGUUUAUAAGGAAUGAAAGGACUGGAUGUAAUGAUUUGUGUACAUUUUUCUCUUUGAUUUAGCUUCAGUCCAGAACAAAUAAAUGUGAUGGUCACUGUGUGUGUGUGAGUCUCUUCAGGCCUGAUGGAGUCUGAGCUAUUCACACAGGCACUGUAGCAUUUCUGUUCCUUAUUUCAUUCUAGCUUUAUUAAACUCUCAUGUACUGAGAUUACAUUUCCAGGAACGUAAUAAUAAAUAGAAUAACAUGAUAGAAA